rnacentral:rRNA from 1 species
ACUACGGGUGGCAGCAGUGGGGAAUAUUGCACAAUGGGGGAAACCCUGAUGCAGCAACGCCGCGUGAGUGAUGACGGCCUUCGGGUUGUAAAGCUCUGUCUUCAGGGACGAGAAUGACGGGACCUGAGGAGGAAGCCACGGCUAACUACGUGCCAGCAGCCGCGGUAAUACGUAGGUGGCGAGCGUGGUCCGGAUUUACUGGGCGUAAAGGGGGCGUAGGCGGACUUUUAAGUGAGAUGUGAAAUACUCGGGCUCAACUUGAGUACUGCAUUUUAAACUGGAAGUCUAGAGUGCAGGAGAGGAGAAUGGAAUUCCUAGUGUAGCGGUGAAAUGCGUAGAGAUUAGGAAGAACACCAGUGGCGAAGGCGAUUCUCUGGACUGUAACUGACGCUGAGGCUCGAAAGCGUGGGGAGCAAACAGGAUUAGAUACCCGAGUAGUC